rnacentral:rRNA from 1 species
CUGCAGUCGAGCGAGAAGGUAGAGAGUGAUUCUUCGGAUGAGAUCUACCGGGCAGCGGCGGACGGGUGAGUAACGCGUGGGUAACCUGCCUUAUACUGGGGGAUAACAUUCUGAAAAGGAUGCUAAUACCGCAUAAGCGCACAGCAUCGCAUGAUGCCGUGUGAAAAACUCCGGUGGUAUAAGAUGGACCCGCGUCUGAUUAGCUAGUUGGUGAGAUAAUAGCUCACCAAGGCAACGAUCAGUAGCCGACCUGAGAGGGUGAUCGGCCACAUUGGGACUGAGACACGGCCCAAACUCCUACGGGAGGCAGCAGUGGGGAAUAUUGCACAAUGGGGGAAACCCUGAUGCAGCGACGCCGCGUGAAGGAUGAAGGUUUUCGGAUCGUAAACUUCUAUCAGCAGGGAAGAAAAUGACUGUACCUGACUAAGAAGCCCCGGCUAACUACGUGCCAGCAGCCGCGGUAAUACGUAGGGGGCAAGCGUUAUCCGGAAUUACUGGGUGUAAAGGGUGCGUAGGCGGUAAAGUAAGUUAGGUGUGAAAGCCCGGGGCUCAACCUCGGGACUGCACUUAAAACUGCUUUACUAGAAUACAGGAGAGGUAAGUGGAAUUCCUAGUGUAGCGGUGAAAUGCGUAGAUAUUAGGAGGAACACCAGUGGCGAAGGCGACUUACUGGACUGUGAUUGACGCUGAGGCACGAAAGCGUGGGGAGCGAACAGGAUUAGAUACCCUGGUAGUCCACGCCGUAACGAUGAAUGCUAGGUGUCGGGGGUCGAACCUCGGUGCCGCAGCUAACGCAUUAAGCAUUCCACCUGGGGAGUACGAUCGCAAGAUUGAAACUCAAGGAAAUUGACGG